UCUCCGUUGGUGAACCAGCGGAGGGAUCAUUAUCGAGUUUAUAACUCCCAAACCCUAUGUGAACUUACCACUUGUUGCUUCGGCGCGCGCUUCGGCGCCGCCGAGGACACUUAAACUCUUUGUUUUAUAAGCAUUUCUGAGUGGCCGAAAGGCAAAAUACAAAUGAAUCAAAACUUUCAACAACGGAUCUCUUGGUUCUG
rnacentral:misc_RNA from 1 species